rnacentral:rRNA from 1 species
AUUGAACGCUGGCGGCAGGCCUAACACAUGCAAGUCGAACGAGUGGCGGACGGGUGAGUAAUGUCUGGGAAACUGCACGAUGGAGGGGGAUAACUACUGGAAACGGUAGCUAAUACCGCAUACCAUCGGAUGUGCCCAGAUGGGAUUAGCUUGUAGGUGAGGUAACGGCUCACCUAGGCGACGAGCCCUAGCUGGUCUGAGAGGAUGACCAGCCACACUGAGACUGAGACACGGGCCAGAAUCCUACGGGAGGCAGCAGUGGGGAAUAUUGUACAGUGUGCGCAAGCCUGAUGUAGCCAGGGCUGGUGUAUGACGAAGGCAUUCGGGUUGUAAAUUACUUUCAGCGGGGAGGCGUUACCCGCAGAAGAAGCACCGGCUAACUCCGUGCCAGCAGCCGCGGUAAUAC